rnacentral:rRNA from 1 species
UACGGAGGGUGCAAGCGUUAUCCGGAUUCACUGGGUUUAAAGGGUGCGUAGGUGGGCAGGUAAGUCAGUGGUGAAAUCUCCGGGCUUAACUCGGAAACUGCCAUUGAUACUAUCUGUCUUGAAUACCGUGGAGGUUAGCGGAAUAUGUCAUGUAGCGGUGAAAUGCGUAGAUAUCCGGAAGAACACCGAUGGCGAAGGCAACCACCUGGGCCUGUACUGACGCUGAGGUACGAAAGCGUGGGGAGCAAACAGG